rnacentral:rRNA from 1 species
GAUCAUGGCUCAGGACGAACGCUGGCGGCGUGCUUAACACAUGCAAGUCGAACGUGAUUUUUGUGGAAAGCCCUUCGGGGACGGGAAAUGAAAUGAAAGUGGCGAACGGGUGAGUAACACGUGAGCAACCUACCUUACACAGGGGGAUAGCCGUUGGAAACGACGAUUAAUACCGCAUGAGACCACAGAAUCGCAUGAUAUAGGGGUCAAAGAUUUAUCGGUGUAAGAAGGGCUCGCGUCUGAUUAG